rnacentral:lncRNA from 1 species
CUGGUCAAUGACAAGUCUCUCCUUGCUCCUGUGCACACUCGGUCAUCCGGCAACCGCAGCUGAAGUUGCUGGCCGAACGACUUGAUCUUUGGUCAACCUGUAGUCGUUAGCGCAGCGAAUGGCAUCCAGUGUUAACCACAGGGCCCUGAUCUGAGUGGCAGAGACACUGCUCCCUGACAGCCCUCGGGUUUGAAAGCGUAGAGGUCACCUUACCCUCUCCAAACUCGGUGGGUUGCUCUAUGAAGUUGGCAUGAGCCUCUGAACUGCUUCUGCCACAUGCCUAAGGAUCUACACGGUGGUGAUAUGCUCUCUCAGCAUCCUGCUCUGGCUACCUGCUCCCAUGCCUCCCCCACCACCAUGAGCUUUUCUGGAAUUGGUUUCUCUAUAGCUUUUCAGGAUGUCCUGGAACGCUCUAAGUAGACCAGAGUGGCCUGGAACUCACAGAAAUCUGCCUUCCUCUGCCUCCUGAGUGCUGGGAUUAAAGGCGUGCACCACCACCUCCCGGCCCCAUUGCCCAGUGUAAUAUUUGAUAUGUAAGAAGUCAUUUAUAAAGUCUUCAGGAG